AAGAAACCAAACACAAGAAGAAGAUGAUGUGGCUUCAUGUGGUCGUCCGUCCAUAAUCCUUUUUCUCUCAGCUUCUUUGUUUGGGAAAGAUAACGUCUUCAUUCUGCUAUUUGCUGACAUCAUCAGUGAGUGAAUAGACCUUCCCACUGUCUUCACUCUGUCUUUGCUCUCCUUGCUCUCCCUCUCUGUCUCCCAGGGUUCUGCUGCAGCAGUGAUAACCAGCGUCUAUCACCGCUGUGUUACAGUGUCUGGGUGCUGCAGAUAGCUUAUCUCAUGGAGGCUUACACCCCGGGAGCACCGACACCAACUCCACUGUACUCAUGCAGACCUUACAUACUCACACAGCCAGCACACGGAUGCAGCGCAGAGAGAAAAGCAGUCCGUCACUGCUGUGUAAUCGUCUUCGUCCACACUUAGUGUCGAUCCGAAAAACUCACUGGGUUCGUCCUUAGGGCCAAACAGAACAAGCCGGGGUUGAAUCGAUGUGGCGUGGACCCUCAAGUCUCAACACUGCACAUACGGACAAGAGUGCUGGAUGAGUGUAAAUUCAAGCACAGCUUUAGACAUGGAAAUAUCAUCAAACAGAUGGGAACAGAUGUUUGAAUACAUUUACUGUCUCCAGCUACAGUUGCUGGGAUCAACAUCUCUGGUACACACCGAUCCGGUUCUUUAAAUCGACCAGCGGCACCAAAUUAUAUCAUCAGUUCUUGUCUGUGAACACAACCAGGAAUCCUGCUCCUCUUGUUUAGCCUUAUUAUAAAUGUGCUCAGACAGAAGAUGAAUAGGAAGACACACAGUUUUGACGCAUCUACUGUUUCCAUUGAUUUUGUCUCAAACUCUCUCGGUCAAAUAGAGAGAGAGAACUCAGAUAUCUGCCCAUUAAUCAUCUGGUGCCGGUUGCACCAUCUAGUCUUUACUGAGACGGGCUGUAUCUGCAAGUCAGUCUCAGUUAAUUUAACGUUAUGAAUGAUUCAAGAAGAGAAAAGGCCGUUUCACUGACACUGAGUACAUCCUGUCGGCUACGCUGCGACUAGAUAAAUGAUGUACCUUGUUAACAGCUGAUCACUGCAGAUGAGCACGAAUGUGAGAGAUAAUGAUACCAGCGCUCUUAAAGUGAUUCCAAUACCAAGAGAGUAUUUUAUUUAAUACCCAUCAGGUGAAAGGAAGCAUUUAGUUGUUUAAAAUCCCACCAUCCGUCCUCGUCUGACAGGAAGUCUGCUGCUGCUGUAGUGGGCCAAUCACAUGUGGGUACUAAUGACCAGUAACCUAAUCCAAGUAUCCUGAUAUUAAAUGAAUGUAACUUGAUGAUUUGCUGGUUACUUCAAUACCAGAUAUUCAAAUAAAAUCAGGAGAAAUGAGA